UGUGCAGGGGGUGAGGGUUUGUUAGUGAGACAUGACUCACUUCAUGACUCCAUUUCUGGAUAAAGCUAAUUGUUAGAAAAAGUUUUUCUUUGCAGCAAACUUAAAUUUGCUUUUUUUUAACUCCCUUGUGUAAAAGAUCAAGUGUAUACCUGCUCUGAUGUAACAGUCCUUCACAUGUAUGAAGAUACCUAUGAUCUCCCAUCCCACCCAAAGUCUUUUCUUCUCCAGGCUAAAUGUCUGUUGCUCCUUCAAUUGAACAUCAUAUGACAUGACCUUGAUGCCUUUCUCUAGACUCUGCCCAGCUUUUCCAUCUCCUUCCUAAAAUGGGAAUAUAUAACUGAAGACAAAUAUUCCAGAUGUUGGCUGGCUAGGACAGAGUAUAGCAAGUCUGCCCAAACUUUAUUCCAAGAUUCUUCUCAUGGUUGCCUCAGACCUCAUCCACUUUGUGGUGUGCCAUCUCCUACUGUGGACUCAUGCAGACCUUGCAGUUCACUAAAAUCUCCAAGUUCUCAUUUUGCCAGGUCUCUCCGUCUUCAUUUGUUGAUUUUUUUUGAAACCAUGCAAAUUCAUCCAUUUAUCCCUAUCAAAUUUCAUCUUAUUUGAUUCAGUCUAAACAUUCUAGCCUGUCUAGACUUUUUAGAUAGAUAAUUUAGACAUCAUAUUUAUUAGUCACUUACUAGGUGUCAGGCACUCUGCUAAGUGUCAGAUACAAAUAGAAGCAAGUAAGACAGAAAGCAAUUCCUGCCCUCAAGGAGCUUACAUUCUAACACACACAGAGAAUACAUAAAGAGAUCUUACAAGUGGAUGGGAGUGUGCUUGAUGAAGUUCAUUUUUCUUUUUCCAGCUGUUUAUGAAGGAUCUUUUUAGUGCUGUGGUCUAGGCUUUGAGAGGGUCUUGUGGCUAGUAAAUGUCAGAUCUCUUUCCUUCAAAUCCUGUAGCACACGCUGGUGAGAUAACUGUGGCUACACUAUGUGAGGUAGGAAUAUGGAUAGAGAAGGACUGCAAGUUGGAGACUGCCAUCUUGGAACGCAGUGAUGAUGGUUUGGGGAAAGCUGACCAAUCCAGAGUCUUGUUUGACCUUCUCUAUCUCUGUGGGUAACAGAACCUCUCAUUUUAGGGAUCCCAUGGAGAGGUAGGAGGUGGCCCAUUACAGGAUUAGGAUUGACUUAUGUGAUCUUGACUAAAUUCGUUCCUUUCUCUGGGUCUCAGUUUCCCAUCUGUAAAAGGAAAGGUUUGGGUUAGAACUAGAUGGUCUCUAGGUUUCUUAGCAGCCAAAUAUCCCAGGAUUCUAAGGGUAGCUUUGGGAUGCCCCCCAGUUUUGAGCCAUUGGGAAAUCUUCAUUUUACGUGUGGACAUGAGAAGCCUGAGCAGUUUUCCUGCGCUCCUCGUUCCCCCAGUCCCUCUCCUUGUAGAGGUAGCCAACUUCCAGCCUAUUUUUGAAAGGCUCUGUCGCAGGGAGGGCCCUGGCUGUGAUCUAACAUCCGAGGAGAGCGGGUGGCUGCUGCUGAAAGACGCUGAAUGCCUGGAAACGCUGUUACAAUGAGUCACCACCUGAUAACCUUACGUAAUUGCACAAUCCCAGAGUGGGCUGGACUCCAGUGUUUCCCUGCAAUGGGCACCCUGGUAGGCACCCAACCUCCCCAUCGACUCGAAUUUUCCCAAAGUCUUAGGGCUUCCAGAUACAGACUAGGUGGGAGUUGGGCCAGCCAGGUGUCCGUCCACAGAGUGGUAAUGAUCAUUGUGGCCUUCAUGGGGUGAGAGGAGACUUUUUGGACAGUGUAAAAUCAUCACCAAUCUGGUAUCCUCUGAGGCACUUGUAAAAACUCUUCCACUCCUCCUUCCCAAAAAUAAGAGUCCUACAAAACUCAAAGUACCUCAGCUUUCAGGAGGAUCUAGGAGUCAGGAGUAAGCAAAACAAGACAGGAGAACCAUUAGCAGUCUUCUUCAGAACAACAGAAAGGACAGGUAGGUGUCACAGUGGAUGGAGUAUGAUCCUGGAAUCAGGAAGACCUGAGUUCAUUUGCCUUCAGAUAUUUGACUGUGUGACUCUGGCCAAGUCACUUAACCCUGAUUACCUCACCAAAAAGAAAGUAAGGAAAGAAGGAAGGAAGGAGGGAAGGAAAAAAAAGAAAAUCAGAAGGGGGAAGUGGAAUGAAAUAAGUCUGGGUAAGUUGGGUAGGGAUUUAAAUGCCAGACUCUGGAAUUUGUGUUUCAUCCUUCAGACAGUAGAGAACCAUUGAAGGCUUUUGAGCAGAAGAGGGCCACAGUCAUACCUGUGCAUUAUGGUGGAAGAUGAUUUUGUGAGAUUUGUGAUCAACUGACUAGAAAAAGGAAAGGGAGGGAGACCAAUUAGGCCAUGUCAGUGGUCCACGUGAGACAUGAUAAAAGCUUAGUCUAAGAGUGAGAAGUGAGAAGAAGGGACUUGGUUGGAGGAAUAUUGCUGAAAAGCAGCUGCUAGGCUGACAUAAGAUGUGGACAGUGGAGAGGGGUGUUGAGAAUAACUCUGAGAUUUCAGACUUGGGUGAUUUGGAGAACAAAAUUAGUUAUUGCAUUGGUAAACAUUUUCAGGUCUUUCAAAGAUAUUUGUUUUUAUGUAUCGCGGUAAUUAUAAAAUGAUUCUCCUGGUUCUGCUCACUGCACUUUUCAUUGGUUCAUAUAAACUUUCCCAAGUUCCCUUUCAUCCCUUUCAUCAUUUCUUGUAGCACAAUAGUAUUAAAAUAGGAAUCAUAGCCCUUCUUACAGCGUGGUUUGAUUUGGAGGAAAGUGCUUUAGAAAGUGUAAAAUACCAUAUAAACACAAGUGAUAAUGAUUGGUCGAUUGGUGACUGGGCUGACUUUAGAGGCUCUUCCCAACAAUUUAGUCUCUCAAGGAUUUUACUUCCAAAACUCAUCUUAUUCUUGAGGAAGAAGAAACUGGGAAAAGCAUGCAAAGUCUGGGAGUUCCUCUCCAUACCCUUCCAGAGUGAAUUUCAUGGAGAACAUGUGUGAAUAAUUCUGGAAUUCCUCCCCAGGCGGGGGACGGGCUGUCUCUAGUUACACCAUUUGCAAAGGAGCAGUCAUCCCACUCUGAAGUCAGAUUGAUCAUGGAAAACAAGCUGUGUGCACCUUAUUAGCAUGCCCAUUGGGGUGCUGGCCACUACCAGGUCAGCGGGGUGAGAGGGAUGAUGCUCACUAGCACUGGAAAGGAGCCUCUUGUACUAGACGUGAAUCCGUUGUGAAUCAGCAGUGUUACUUGGCAACCAAAAGAGCAAGAGCCAUGUUGGGCUGCAUCAGGAGAGCCACGGUUUCCAAUAGGAGAGAAUCAUUAGUCCUAAGGUCAUCCACUCUGGUCAGAUCAUCUCUACAAUAGUCCUCUAUUCUGGUCAGAUUAUCUCUAGAGACUUGUGGUCCUCUGGGGCACUGUUAUUUCAGGAAGGAUGUAAACUAGAGCGUGUCCAAAGGAGAGUCACCAGUAGGUGAGAUGACUGGAGAUGAGGCCAUAGGAGGGUAAGUGAAGGGAGUUAGGGCCAUUUCUCAAGAAGGGAAGAAGGGCUGAUAGGAAAAGAGGCAUUAGCCUUCUGAUUAGCUCCAUGGGACAGAACCAGUUGGUGGGUGUGGGAAGAUCUUGCAAAGGGCCAGAGCCAGAACUUGGGUCAAGUGGAAUGGGUUGCCUUGGGAAUGAGCUUCUCUUUUUGAACACUUGAAUGUCUUCAAGUAAAGGCAGGAUAAUCAUUUGUAGGACAUGAUGUUGAGAGGACUCUUCUUUAGUAACAGAUUGGACAAGAUGACUCCUAGCCUGAAAUUCUAUUAUUUCCUCUCUGGUUCUAAAUCAUCUGGAAGAGCAAAAUCCCAUCAGAGAACCAAAUUUGGUCAGGGAGAUUAUCCCUUGGCCAGAAUUGCAUCAGAGCUGAAGGGUACCUUAGGGAUUAAUUUUGUAGGGAAGGGAACUGAGGAUCAGAGAUGGGAAGGGGCCCUGUCUGGACUCAGUAUGGCACAGAGGAGAAAGCUCUGGGGCUCAGGGUCUGAGUGACACUCUCUUGUUUUCCAGCUAUGUGGUCUUGGGUAAUUCCAUUAAUCUUUUCUCACUUUCAAGUUUCUCUGUAAGAUGAGGAUAAUGGUGCCUCCCAUAUCUGCCUCAUAGGGAUGUUGGGAGGAAAAAUGUUUUGUAAAACCUGAAGAACUCUGCUAAAGGAAGGCACUUUCAACAUUGUCAAAGACCAUCUAGAGAGGGAGUGACUCAUUCAGAACUAAGGGCUCUGGAAACUCAGCCCCUGGUUCUUCAUCCUGCCUCAGAUGCAAUAGAUUCCCGAUCUGGGUUCAGUUAAGUCACCGGGGCAAACUGGAGAUGUUAGCUGAGCAUGGAAAAUCCUAAGGUCCUGGCUCCCUUUAGACUGAGGUGGGCAGUGGAGAGGGAGUCAGGGAUGGGUAGAUGAUGGAAGGUUUUGAUUAGGGAGGUCAUACUUGAGCUGGUAACUCCAUGUAGAUUUAAAAGGGAUGCUUUAGGAGGAAGGAAGGAAGGAAGGAAGGAAGGAAGGAAGGAAGGAAGGAA